CCUACGGGAGGCAGCAGUGAGGAAUAUUGGUCAAUGGGCGCUAGCCUGAACCAGCCAAGUAGCGUGAAGGAUGACUGCCCUACGGGUUGUAAACUUCUUUUAUAUGGGAAUAAAGUGCAGCAUGUGUACUUCUUUGCAUGUACCUUAUGAAUAAGGAUCGGCUAACUCCGUGCCAGCAGCCGCGGUAAUACGGAGGAUCCGAGCGUUAUCCGGAUUUAUUGGGUUUAAAGGGAGCGUAGGUGGGUUGUUAAGUCAGUUGUGAAAGUUUGCGGCUCAACCGUAAAAUUGCAAUUGAUACUGGCAGCGUUGAGUACAGGAGAGGUAGGCGGAAUUCGUGGUGUAGCGGGGAAAUGCUUAGAGAUCACGAAGAACUCCGAUUGCGAAGGCAGCCUGCUAAACUGUAACUGACACUGAUGCUCGAAAGUGUGGGUAUCAAACAGGAGUAGAUACCCCUGUAGUC
rnacentral:rRNA from 1 species